rnacentral:rRNA from 1 species
GACAGAGGAUGCAAGCGUUAUCCGGAAUCAUUGGGCGUAAAGCGCGCGUAGGCGGCCCCGUAAGUCCGCUGUGAAAGUCAAAGGCUCAACCUUUGAAAGCCGGUGGAUACUGUGGGGCUAGAGUACGGAAGAGGCGAGUGGAAUUCCUGGUGUAGCGGUGGAAUGCGCAGAUAUCAGGAGGAACACCAAUAGCGAAGGCAGCUCGCUGGGACGUUACUGACGCUGAGGCGCGAAAGCGUGGGGAGCGAACAGG